rnacentral:rRNA from 2 species
CACGGUAGGAUUCAUGACUGGGGUGAAGUCGUAACAAGGUAGCCGUAUCGGAAGGUGCGGCUGGAUCACCUCCUUUCUAGA